AUUGAACGCUGGCGGCAGGCCUAACACAUGCAAGUCGAACGAGUGGCGGACGGGUGAGUAAUGUCUGGGAACCUGCCUGAUGGAGGGGGAUAACUACUGGAAACGGUAGCUAAUACCGCAUACCAUCGGAUGUGCCCAGAUGGGAUUAGCUAGUAGGUGGGGUAAAGGCUCACCUAGGCGACGAUCCCUAGCUGGUCUGAGAGGAUGACCAGCCACACUGGAACUGAGAAACGGGCCAGACUCCGACGGGAGGCAGCAGUGGGGAAUAGUGCACAAUGGGCGCAAGCCGGAUGCAGCCAUGCGGCGUGUAUGAAGAAGGCCUUCGGGUUGGAAAGUACUUUAAGUUGGGAGGCGUUACCAACAGAAUAAGCACCGGCUAACUUCGUGCCAGCAGCCGCGGUAAUAC
rnacentral:rRNA from 1 species